rnacentral:misc_RNA from 1 species
GAUGAAGAACGUAGUGAAUUGCGAUAUGUAAUGUGAAUUGCAGAAUUCAGUGAAUCAUCGAAUCUUUGAACGCACCUUGCACCCUCUGGUAUUCCGGAGGGUAUGCCUGUUUGAGUGUCAUUAACAUCUCAACGCUUGAUGGGUUCUUGUAACCCGUUCAGUGGUUGGACUUUGAAGGUUGCCGGUGUCAAAGCCAGCUCCUUUUAAAUGCAUGAGCAAGGACUAUUCCGAAUCGGCUUCGGUUUGAUAAAUUUGACUUAUCUGAUGCCGUCGCUGAGGAACUAUGGUUGACCUGCUUCUAAUUGUCUUCCGACUGUCUCCUUGUGAGGCAACUAUAUUGACUCUUGACCUCAAAUCAGGUAGGACUACCCGCUGAACUUAAGCAUAUCAAUAAGCGGAGGA